CCGACGGGUGAGUAACACGUAUGCAAUCCACCUGUAACAGGGGAUAACCCGGAGAAAUCCGGACUAAUACCCCAUAAUAUGGGCGCUCCGCAUGGAGAGCCCAUUAAAGAGAGCAAUUUUGGUUACAGACGAGCAUGCGCUCCAUUAGCCAGUUGGCGGGGUAGCGGCCCACCAAAGCGACGAUGGAUAGGGGUUCUGAGAGGAAGGUCCCCCACAUUGGAACUGAGACACGGUCCAA
rnacentral:rRNA from 1 species